CCUACGGGUGGCAGCAGUGAGGAAUAUUGGUCAAUGGACGCAAGUCUGAACCAGCCAUGCCGCGUGCAGGAAGACGGCUCUAUGAGUUGUAAACUGCGUUUGUACGGGGGUAAACGCACAUACGCGUAUCUGUCUGAAAGUAUCGUACGAGUAAGGAUCGGAUAACUCCGUGCCAGCAGACGCGGUAAUACGGAGGAUUCAAGCGUUAUCCGUAUUUAUUGGGUUUAAAGGGUGCGUAGGCGGUCGGAUAAGUUAGAGGUGAAAUCCCGUGGCUCAACUUCGGAAUUGCCUGUGAUACUGGUCGGCUAGAGAGUAGUUGCGGUAGGCGGAAUGUAUGGUGUAGCAGUGAAAUGCGUAGAGAUCAUACAGAACACCGAUGGCGAAGGCAGCUUACCAAGCUACUUCUGACGUUGAGGAACGAAAGCGUGGGGAGCAAACAGGAUUAGAUACCCCUGUAGUC
rnacentral:rRNA from 1 species